rnacentral:lncRNA from 1 species
AAAUCAAACUCGCACACCAUUAUACUGCCACCAAUACAAAUUUAUGAUUUAAAUCAUUAAGCAAAUGAACCAUUCCUUGAUAUAGUACUAAGAAAACUUAAUUUGAUUGUAAGCUCGAAUUAUAUCAAUCUAAAUCAUGCCCCCUACAUAUAAAUAUGUGUGCUCAUUUAUUUUUAGAUAAUUCAGGGUAAAGUAAGGGGUCUUAUGUUUCAGGUAUAUAUUGAAGGAUACAUGAUGAAAGCUGUAAAGAAUAUACUUGUUGUAAGCUGUAAAGUAGAGGGUCUUAUGCUCAACAUGUUGUUUCUCUAUUUUCUGCAUGUAUGUAUUUUUUGUAUUCUGCCUUUUGUAAAGUUAGCCAAUUAUACUUGGUUAUGUUGAUUGUGGGUAUGGAAUGACGGUUUUUUUUGGUGGUUUGGAUAUGUAUGGAUGAUUGUAAGUUUUGUAAACAGGUUUAGAUUUUUCUGGAUAUCUAUUUUUAAAGGAAACUCUGCCGAAAUUUCUUGAAAUUAGUAGCGAUUAGCUUGAUGUUUUGGUGGUUGGAUGUGUUGAUGAUUGAGUAUGUAUUAAUUUCUUCAUGUAUGUAUUUUUUUUGUUCCGCAUUUUGUAAAGUUAACUAAUUAUACAUGGUUAUGAUGAUUUUGGGUAUGAAAUGAUUGUUUUUUUGGAGGUUUGGAUAUGUAUGGAUUAUUGUAAGUUUUAUACACAGGUUUAUAUUUGUCUAGAUAUCUAUUUUUAAAGGAAAU